CCUACGGGAGGCAGCAGUGAGGAAUAUUGGUCAAUGGGCGCUAGCCUGAACCAGCCAAGUAGCGUGAAGGAUGACUGCCCUGUGUGUUGUAAACUUCUUUUAUAUGGGAAUAAAGUCCAGUAUGUAUACUGCGUUGCAUGUACCUUAUGAAUAAGCAUCGGCUAACUCCGUGCCAGCAGCCGCGGUAAUACGGAGGAUCCGAGCGUUAUCCGGAUUUAUUGGGUUUAAAGGGAGCGCAGGCGGGUUGUUAAGUCAGUUGUGAAAGUUUGCGGCUCAACCGUAAAAUUGCAGUUGAUACUGGCAUCCUUGAGUACAGGAGAGGUAGGCGGAAUGCGUGGUGUAGCGGUGAAAUGCAUAGAUAUCACGCAGAACUCCGAUUGCGAAGGCAGCAUGCCGGCGCCAAACUGACGCUGAGGCACGAAAGCGUGGGUAUCGAACAGGAUUAGAUACCCGUGUAGUC
rnacentral:rRNA from 1 species